AAUGGUAAAGUCCUUUGAAAUGGAUUGCCAGAUUAUGGUACCCACUUCUCAAUCCUCCAGGUAAAUACACAGAAGCAGGAAAACUGGAUCAUAUGAAAUUUCUAUUUUCAAUAUUUUUGAGGAAUCUCUGUUCUGCUUUCCAGAGUGACUGCACCAAUUUAUAUCCCCACCAACAGUGUUAAAAUAUUUCCUUCUCUCCACAUUCUCUCCGAGGAUAUCACAGCAGUUACACUGUGUUUUCACUGCAUCCUACAGAUGGUAAACAGCUUCAAUUUGUCCCAGUACUGAUGAAAUUCACUUUGAUUACUUCAUUAAGAUACGCACAGAGGAAAGUUUAAGUAAUUGUGAUGCCUCUGCUUGACAGAGGGCUUAUCCUACCACUGCAGUAUUGUCUUAUCAACAUUCUGAACAAUCAAUCAAAAAUCCCAUCUUUUAUAGCAGCAAAGCAUUGUGAAGGAAAGAGGAUUCAGUUUAAAAGAAAGAUCUUUAGAAAAUAUAUAAUGAAUGAAUGAAUGCAAAAUUAAUAUAAAGUGUGGAUGAAUUAAAUCAAGUAAAAAGAAUUAGUCUGACACAUCUAAAGUUACAAUAGAAGACCAACUAGCAAGUAUCCACAAUAAGACAUUGCAAAGAUCCUAGAAUAAGGGGCUAAGACUGAAGCACUCUCCUGGACCAAAGAGAACAGAAAGAACCAUAUUAGAAAGAAGAUGUGAGAGCUGAAGCUGCUUGGAGCUAGAAUAAUGUUGGAUUAUCCAGAUGCUAUAAUGUAUCCAAACUGCUCUCUGGGAAUUCUCUCCUUCUGGAGACUGGAACUUCACUAGGGAAAAAGUGAAGAAGUCUGAGAAGGUCUGUCCUGUCUAUUCUCCUUUUGAGUCUACCAAGGGAUUUUUCUCAGAAACUCACAUGAGAAUCAUGGGGGCUCCUAGAGAGAAAGCUGUGAAAACAUUGGAGACUCCAUAUGGCUGCACCCCUCAAGACUUUCUCUAUUUGGCUACCAGCAAUUUUCUCAAAAUUACUACAUAAGGAUUCAUACCAGUGGUAGCCAGGGGAUUCUAUUCCAGGUUGGCAGAUCUCAAACACUGUAUCUCUCUUAAUGCACCUGCACGAUAAAUCAAAUUCCCAAGAUAUCAUUUGCCUUGCAAUUAUAGUUUUCUGAAAGGACCAAGAAAAGGUAUAGGUUUUCAAUAUAUUCAGGUUUUUCUUGUUAGGAUGGGAGUGAUGACUUUUAGGUCAAGAGUUCAGUCUUCUUUUUUGCUAUUAUCAUUUAUAACUACUUUUUAAUGAUCAUUAUUGGAAUAUAAUAUUAUUUUACUAAUUAUUAUUCUACUGCUGAGAAAAUAAUAGGCAUAGUUCUA